AACGUAGGGGACAAGCGUUAUCCGGAUUUACUGGGCGUAAAGCGCCCGUAGGCGGCCUGACAAGUUGGACGUGAAAGCUCCUGGCUUAACUGGGAGAGGCCGUUCAAAACUGUCAAGCUAGAGUCUGGAAGAGGAGAGCGGAAUUCCCGGUGUAGUGGUGGAAUGCGUAGAGAUCGGGAGGAACACCAGUGGCGAAAGCGGCUCUCUGGUCCAAAACUGACGCUGAGGGCGAAAGCGUGGGAGCGAACGGG
rnacentral:rRNA from 1 species